GCCAGGGUGGUAUAGUGGUUAGCACAUCUGUCUAGUGAGCAGGAGACCCAGUUUCGAAUCCUGGCCCUGGUA